AUGGAGGGUUGGUUAGCCUUAUGUUUUAUAGCCCUAUCCACGUUACUGGCCCUUUGGUUCUCCGGCAGCAAGAGCAAGCCCAAGAAGCACCUGCCUCCCGGGCCAUGGACUCUCCCGAUCAUCGGCAGCCUCCACCACGUCAUCCUCGGCACGCUCCCUCACCGCACCAUCACUGAUCUGUGUCGCCGGCAUGGGCCACUGAUGCUCCUCAAGCUAGGCGAGGUCCCCACGGUGGUGGUCUCCAGCGCCGAGGCGGUGGCGGAGGUAAUGAAGACCAACGACGUCGCCUUCUCGAACCGGCAGACCACCGAGCUGCAGGAGAUCAUGGGCUUCGGCGGCAAGGGCAUCAUCUUCGCCCCCUACGGCGACCACUGGCGCCAGAUGCGCAAGGUCUGCAUCGUGGAGCUCCUCAGCUCCAAGCAGGUGAAGCGCAUGGAGUGCAUCAGGGCCGAGGAGGUGGGCGGCCUCCUCCGCUCCAUCAUCACGGCCACGGACGCGGGCGCCGCCGCCAACCUCAGCGAGAUGUUUGCGGCGCUUGGCAACAACGUGGUGGCGCGGGCGGCGUUCGGCGGCAAGUUCGCACGGCAGGAGGAGUUCCUCUGCGCCAUGGACCAAAUCAUGGACCUGCUGGGGGGCUUCUGCCUGGUCGACCUCUUCCCGUCGUCCCGGCUGGUGCGGGGGCUCAGCAAUGGCGAGCGCCGCAUAAAGAGGAUCCGGGACCUCAUUGAGCACAUCAUCACCGAGAUCCUUGACGAGCGCAAGGCGGCGCGAGCGGCCGGUCAUGGCGCAUGCAGCACCGAUGAUGAGGACCUGCUGGACGUGCUGCUCAGGCUGCAGGAGGAGGACUCGGCAUACCCUCUAACCACAGAGAUUAUAGUCACUGUCUUGUUGGACAUGUUUGCGGCUGCUUCAGAGACUACAGGAACUGCUUUGGAGUGGGCCAUGUCAGAACUCGUAAGUCAUCCUGAAGUUAUGGCUAAGGCACAAUUAGAGGUUCGAGAGGUACUAGGUCAAGGCCGAGCUAUCAUUAGCAAUAGCGAUCUUGCAGAACUCCACUACAUGCAGAUGGUCAUCAAGGAGGUUCUUAGAUUGCAUCCACCUGCCGCUUUACUCCCCCGCAAGACUAGAGAGGACUGCAAAAUUAUGGGUUACGACAUCCUUAAAGAUACCAAUAUAUACAUUAAUGUCUUCGCAAUUUCCCGGGACCCUCAGUAUUGGAGCAAUCCAAAAGAAUUUAAUCCCGAGAGAUUUGAGAACAACAAUGUGGAUUAUAACGGGACAAGUUUUGAAUUCACUCCUUUCGGAGGUGGGCGACGACAAUGCCCUGGAAUAGCAUUCGCAUCAUCAGUUUUGGAGAUUACCUUGGUAAACUUUCUCUAUCACUUUGACUGGAUGCUUCCUGACAAUGCCAACUCAUUAUCACUAGAUAUGUCUGAGAAAUUCGGGUUCACUGUCCGUAGAAGGACUGACCUACUGCUCAAGGCUAUUCCACAUGUAUGCUCCAAGGCUACACAUAUAUAG
rnacentral:rRNA from 1 species